rnacentral:lncRNA from 1 species
GCCAGGUUGAGCUGUUCCACCUUCUGCAAGCACCCGAAGGAGAGGGGGAUGGGGCCGGUGAUCUGGUUGGACCCGGCGUCGAACACCGUGGCCCUCUUUAGCAGCCCUGUUUCGUAGGGGAGGCAGCCGGAGAGCCGGUUGCCGAGGAACAGGACCUCGAUCAGGGUGUCGCAGGCCUUGCCGAUGGAGCUGGGGAUGGGGCCGGUGAAGUCGUUGUUGGCGAGGGUGAGGUAGGCGGCGGUGGUGCUGCCGAGGUUGGCCGGGAUGUUCUGGGUGAACCCGUUGUUGUUGAGGAAGAGCACGUCGGUGCGGAUGAGGAAGACGGCGGGUGGGACGGGGCCGGCGUAGCCGUUGUAGCGGAGGUCGAGGAAGGCGAGGUCGACGAGUGGGAGCACGCUGGCGGGGAAGCCGCCGGAGAGGCGGUUGUUGCUAAGGUCGAGCUCGUAGAAGAAGGGGAGGCUGGCGAGGGCGGGGACGGUACCGCCGAAGCUGUUGGAGUUGGCGUGGAAGAGCGCAAGGUCGGGAAGCUGGUCGACGAAGCCGCAGACGGUAGGGGCGGAGAGGGUGAAUCCGUUGAAGUCAACGGAGGCGAUGGUGCGCAUGUUGCUAAGCCCCGGCGGGGUCUCGCAGUAGAAGCCUUGGUAGCCGCGGCCGUCGUUGUUGCAGAUGCGGAACCCCGUCCAGGAGCCGGUCUUGUUCUUGGGGUCGCAGGUGACGGUCUGCUUGAAGCGCUGGAUGACGAAGUACGCGCGGUACUGCAGGAUGUUCUCGAAGUCGCUCGGCUGCGGCUGCCGCGGAGGAGGAGGAGGGCACUCGG